rfam:Ailuropoda melanoleuca scaffold3191_45, whole genome shotgun sequence.
GCCUGGGUGGCAGAGCGGUUAAGCGUCUGCCUUCAGCUCAGGGCGUUGUGGGAUCGAGACCCACAUCAGGUU